GCCUGGGAUUGUGGGAGCAUGAACUAAUGAGAAAGGAAAAGUAUGGCUGUUUGACGAGGGCAAGGGCUGUGAUGUAUGAACACAAUAUGAAUCUAUAAUGGAGAAAAUUUGACUGGGUGCAAGACUUCCUCCAGGAGCAUUCAACACAACAAGAGCAUCUUUGCAGGUUGCGUGUUGAUUUAGUAUGUUGGGGGUGCGAUCUCCUCGAGGUGCAUGUUUGGAGCGGGGCUGCAGCGUUCAAGCCAGAGGAGAGAGUAGUGUUAUUUGUGGAGAUGGCCAGUGAGGGACAAGAGAUGGAAGUGAUGGAUAGGAGUUGUGAAUCAAUAUCAGCUGACAGCUUCUUGAAGUCAAUAGAAUUAAGGUUCCUCCUUAGUUGAGCUGGGUUAGGCUAAGGUUGUUGCGUGAGGGGGUACUAGAGAGAGCAAACG